GUCCCUGUUUGGUUUAGUCACCAGAUACAUGUGCUGAAACCAGAUUACCAAGAGCUGCAUGAUAUCUACAUCAAACGCUUGGUCGAUGAAGGGUGUACUAACCUCUUAGUUCCCAUUGUCCAGGGCGAUCAUUGGCAUCUUCUGGAGUUUGAUGUCGAAAAUGAUAUUGCCAGGCAUUACGACUCCUUGAAGGAGAGAUCUGGACAUUGGGACCUUGUGCUCGAUAUCGUCAAAGCUUUCAACUACAUUAAAGCUGGCUUCAAUGAGAACUAAUUGCGCAGCGUAUUCGACCCAAUCAAAGUUCCAUGCGAGGAGCAAAAGGGAUCGUAUGACUGUGGGAUCUAUGUCUACCAGUUCGUACAAGCGAUUACCGAAGGUAGAGAUGUCCUGCACGUCACGCCCGAAGAGCAUAACACAUGGGUGGUUCGUGCGAAGCUAGCAGCGUACUUACUGAUUGAAGGCAGGAAGAGGAAAAAAGAGGUGGGAAAACUUGACGAUGAUGACGUUGAGAUGUAGAUUUUUUGUAAAUGAUAUAUUACAUUUCUUUGGUGUUACUAACAAUAUACAUGUAAAUAUUAAAAGGUAAAUAUAAACAAUAUAAGGUUGAUCUGUGAAUGAUAUAUUACAAUUCUUUGUUGUUAAUAGCAAUGUACAAGUAACUAUUAUAAGGUUGAUAUCAAGGGAUAACAUUAACAGCAAACCCAUGAGUUCAACAACAAAACCGUAACCUCAACAACAAACAGCAAAGCUUAACAACAUCGCAAGAUUCUGCUAACUUGUGCUUCAAA